rnacentral:rRNA from 1 species
AACGAACGCUGGCGGUAUGCUUAACACAUGCAAGUCGAACGAAUUUUUAUAAAGCUUGCUUUAUAAAAAUUAGUGGCAAACGGGUGAGUAACGCGUGGGAAUCUACCCAUCAGUACGGAAUAACACUUGGAAACAAAUGCUAAUACCGUAUAUUCUCGAAAGAGGAAAGAUUUAUCGCUGAUGGAUGUGCCCGCGUUAGAUUAGGUAGUUGGUGGGGUAAUGGCCUACCAAGCCAACGAUCUAUAGCUGGUCUGAGAGGAUGAUCAGCCACACUGGGACUGAGACACGGCCCAG